UACGUAGGGGGCAAGCGUUGUCCGGAUUUAUUGGGCGUAAAGAGCGUGUAGGCGGCUAGGUAGGUCCGUUGUGAAAACUCGAGGCUCAACCUCGAGACGCCGGUGGAAACCAUCUAGCUAGAGUCCGGAAGAGGAGAGUGGAAUUCCUGGUGUAGCGGUGAAAUGCGCAGAUAUCGGGAGGAACACCUGUGGCGAAAGCGGCGCACUGGACCACAACUGACGCUGAGGCGCGAAAGCUAGGGGAGCAAACAGG
rnacentral:rRNA from 1 species